AGUGAACGCUGGCGGUAGGCCUAACACAUGCAAGUCGAACGGCAGCACAGUAAGAGCUUGCUCUUACGGGUGGCGAGUGGCGGACGGGUGAGGAAUACAUCGGAAUCUACUUUUUCGUGGGGGAUAAGGUAGGGAAACUUACGCUAAUACCGCAUACGACCUACGGGUGAAAGCAGGGGAUCUUCGGACCUUGCGCGAUUGAAUGAGCGGAUGUCGGAUUAGCUAGUUGGCGGGGUAAAGGCCCACCAAGGGGACGAUCCGUAGCUGGUCUGAGAGGAUGAUCAGCCACACUGGAACUGAGACACGGUCCAGACUCCUACGGGAGGCAGCAGUGGGGAAUAUUGGACAAUGGGCGCAAGCCUGAUCCAGCCAUACCGCGUGGGUGAAGAAGGCCUUCGGGUUGUAAAGCCCUUUUGUUGGGAAAGAAAAGCAGCAGGUUAAUACCCCGCUGUUCUGACGGUACCCAAAGAAUAAGCACCGGCUAACUUCGUG
rnacentral:rRNA from 1 species